rnacentral:snRNA from 1 species
GGAAGUGAGGACAAUCUGGCUGUGAUGUUUGUUGCCCCAUUGAUUGCCAGGGUUGAUUUGGCUGAUCUGGCGGGCUAGGCAAGUAUCUCCUUCUCCCACACCAUUCUGUGUGCAUCCCUCCUGAAGUUGUGUGCUUGGUUGAAGAGAACAACUAUCCCUGAUAGAGGAGGACUGUUCUUUAGUCAGGGGUAUACGAGCAGCUGUACUCCCCUGCUAGAACCUCCAAACAAGCUCUAAAGAAAAAGCUGCCACUAGCAGUGUAAAUAGUCAGAAAAUGAUGUGGGAGGCCACAUAGUAUAAAAGCAGCCUAACAAGUAUCUGGCAUGCUUG